CCGGGGAGGNUCAUUGGAAACUGGUUGACUUGAGUGCAGAAGAGGAGAGUGGAAUUCCAUGUGUAGCGGUGAAAUGCGUAGAUAUAUGGAGGAACACCAGUGGCGAAGGCGACUCUCUGGUCUGUAACUGACGCUGAGGCUCGAAAGCGUGGGUAGCAAACAGGAUUAGAUACCCUGGUAGUCCACGCCGUAAACGAUGAGUGCUAAGUGUUGGAGGGUUUCCGCCCUUCAGUGCUGCAGUUAACGCAUUAAGCACUCCGCCUGGGGAGUACGACCGCAAGGUUGAAACUCAAAGGAAUUGACGGGGACCCGCGCAAGCGGUGGAGCAUGUGGUUUAAUUCGAAGCAACGCGAAGAACCUUACCAAGUCUUGACAUCCUUUGACCACUCUAGAGAUAGAGCUUUCCCUUCGGGGACAAAGUGACAGGUGGUGCAUGGUUGUCGUCAGCUCGUGUCGUGAGAUGUUGGGUUAAGUCCCGCAACGAGCGCAACCCUUAUUACUAGUUGCCAGCAUUGAGUUGGGCACUCUAGUGAGACUGCCGGUGACAAACCGGAGGAAGGUGGGGAUGACGUCAAAUCAUCAUGCCCCUUAUGACUUGGGCUACACACGUGCUACAAUGGAUGGUACAACGAGCAGCGAACUCGCGAGGGUAAGCAAAUCUCUUAAAGCCAUUCUCAGUUCGGAUUGUAGGCUGCAACUCGCCUACAUGAAGCCGGAAUCGCUAGUAAUCGCGGAUCAGCACGCCGCGGUGAAUACGUUCCCGGGUCUUGUACACACCGCCCGUCACACCACGAGAGUUUGUAACACCCAAAGUC
rnacentral:rRNA from 1 species